CCUACGGGUGGCAGCAGUGAGGAAUAUUGGUCAAUGGACGUGAGUCUGAACCAGCCAAGUAGCGUGAAGGAUGACUGCCCUAUGGGUUGUAAACUUCUUUUAUAUGGGAAUAAAAUGUUCCACGUGUGGGCUUUCGUAUGUUCCCUAUGAAUAAGGAUUGGCUAACUCCGUGCCAGCCGCCCCGGUAAAUCGGAGGAAUCGAGCGUUUUCCGGAUUUUUUGGGUUUAAAGGGAGCGUAGGUGGAUUGUUAAGUCAGUUGUUAAAGUUUGCGGCUCAACCGUAGAAUUGCAGUUGAAACUGGCAGUCUUGAGUACGGUAGAGGUGGGCGGAAUGCGUGGUGUAGCGGUGAAAUGCUUAGAUAUCACGAAGAACUCCGAUUGCGAAGGCAGCUCACUGGAGUGCAACUGACACUGAGGCUCGAAAGUGUGGGUAUCAAACAGGAUUAGAUACCCGAGUAGUC
rnacentral:rRNA from 1 species